GGUUAAAUCAUACUAGAGAUCACAUGAAGACAUUCUAAAAUCACACUAUAAAAAUUGCUGAUAUAGGAGGAAAGGCUUACAAGAAUGUCUUUCAAACCCUUUUAUCCAACAAGUUAUUCAUCUUUUACUUUUCUUUCUUCCAACCUUAUCCUCUAUGAUACUAUUUUACUUUCUAAAUGAAUACAGUUUUGCCAUUUCGAUAGGACAAACAAUUUGACCUCUAAAAGAAACUUUGAAAUCCAAAAGUCUAUAAAGAAUUAAGGCCUGAAUUUAAGACUUAAGGCCAAUUCUUUAGACACAAUUCUCUACUUCUAAAAAUGCUAAGGUUGUAAUUUGGAAAAAACAGCAGAAUAAAGACUGCUAUGGGACCUCAAAUUUUAAAAAUUGUUUAACUGUGGUAUUCUAAAUUAUCAUACAAUCAGAUUAAGUUGGUGGAACUAAAACAGGGCGCAUUACCUCAAACAGCCAGCAUUUACAAGAACCAAAUUGAUUUUUUUUUCUUACAAAAGUCAGGCAACUUCCAAAUUAAGUCACUUUUUACCAUAUACCCUGGAGAAUAACAUGGCCCGACACACCACACGUCCCACUUAUCUAGUUCAAGCGAGUAACAUAACGUGAGAAACUGCACUGUGUAAUUCCUUUAUUUUCUGCAUAUUAGUGCUUUACCAACACUACAACCAUAAAGAACACAAUUCCAAGUACUGUACUUUUUAGUUUGGGGAGAUCACAGUCUACAGACUCAUUUACUUAUAUUAAACAAGAUUAACCUCAUUCAAAACUUACUGCAGUUUAUAAAUUCACAUAAAUACAGAAAUGGAUGCAAUUAAACAACUUCAGGAUCUUAUUUUUAAAAUUCUUAGAUAAUUUUUUCUGCAGGCUAUAAUUACCUGCUCCAGUCACCAAUGGUUAUUGUUCAAUUUAACUACAUCAAUUAUAAACCUCUUAUAUCCUUAAAGAAAAUUUUAAGUGAAAAUUACAAUUUCUUACCAAAAGGUUUAGGGUUUUCCAAAUUUCAAAUAUUUGCUUCCCCCUCCCCCCUUUCCAGUCAAACAUUUCAAAUAAACUAAAAAUAACCACAUCUCACCUGCAACAUUCAAUAAUAGCAAUCACUUGAUGUAUAAAAUUUUAACUAUGCCCCCAGUUAUUUUAAGACACAAAAAAAUGGCUGCCUACCAAUCUGUCUUCACAAGUUAGAAAUACUACAUUUAAGAUUUAACAUGAGGGUUUCAAGUUUCCUCCAGUUUAGGCAUUUAUACCUUUGUGCUUGUUUUGUUUCAGGAUGUUACUAUAGCAUUGAUAUUGGAUAACCCAUAUUUAUAUACUUUAAAAUGCAAUCAUUUGAAACACUAAAAAUUACAUUUAUGGUGGAGCUUUGGAAAUUUUAGAAAGCAACCAGUGUUCUUAGAUGUGUUUAUCAGCCUCAUUUCUAGAGCUCUUUCUACUAAAGUGAAACUGAGAACUUCGUACUUUAGUUGUAUCCUGAAAUCAAAAAAAUCCCUCUGCACCAACAGGAGCCUACAUUUCUGAAAUUCCCUAUUUAAUUCCUUGAGGAUCACUAAAAUUAAUCCUUAAGGCUAUAUAGGAACCAGAUGCUGCUUUACAAUUCUGCAUCAAGCAUUAACAUUUGGUUCAAAAUAUUAUCAUAGUGGUCGCAAUCCAGUUACUGGUCCUAACCAGCUAACCAAGUAAUCUUGUUAGGAUCUGGAUAUCACCAGCGAGCACACUGCUUACACAUGAAGAAAAAUAAGUUUACAUUCAUUGUCAUCUGUAGGUUCUUUCUCUUCAUCCUACGUCCCCUUUAAUAGUCAUCCCUCAAGUCUACACAUCAUUCAUUCAUCACGCUUCCUUCCUUAAAGGAGACAGUGUACUAUUGAACCAACAGGAUAUCUUUUUUAUUAUUUGCAUGAGUUAAUCCUACAAACAAAAUUAAAUACCUCUUUUAUAAAACAUCUUUUCCAGUGUUCUAAUUGAUGGAGAUGCGGAUCACUCAUCUAUAAAAAAUGACUUACAGCUUCAGCUUAAUCAGUUGCUAUAAUGUGAAAACAGGAAUGUGUAUUUUUUUCAACUAGGUAAAAGGUGCAUAUAAUUUGAAUUGUUAAAUGUUUUAUUAAUGAACAAAGUAAACCUUUUAGUAAUUUUUAAAUUACUGGUCUUAGGUGUUUGAAACAAGGUAAAAGUAUACAUUCCAGUUUUGCCCAAAAGUCACUUAAAAUAUCUACAAAUUAUUUAAUCUGUGUGUGGUAACACCAUUAUUGCUCCAAUUUCUGGAAAGAGUCUAUUUUCAAAGUUUAAAAAAGAGGAAAAACAGCAAAGUGGCUAACUUUGCAGUGGAAAGAAAAAGUGUCCUUCAUGGGUUACACUUUCAUAUUUUUAUGCAGCAUUAAGUUAUCUACGUUAUGGGGAACUUGGGUUUUAUUCCUACUCAUGCAUGAUGUGUUUCAGAACUUACUUGCUGACAUUUCAGAGAACUUCUUACAUUACCUGUUUAACAUACUGAGGUGCAACUGGAACAUAUUACAAUAUUACUCAUUAUUUGCCACUGUGGGCUAAGUUUACUAUACUGGUCUUAGAUAUAAAAGGUCACAUUUGAAAUUACUAAGUUAGAACUCAUAAGGAAGGGGGGGGAAGGCCUUAAAUAUAAAAGACAAACGGCAGUUUGAUUAAGCAAUAAUUUUCAGUUUACUAGAUGAAACAGACUUGCAACAUAGUCUGCAUGAAUGCAAAAUAAG
rnacentral:lncRNA from 1 species